AUAUUUGGGUUCUCUUGUCACGGAUCUCCAGUGAAGUUCUGGUUCUAGGUUCUCUUGCCAAGUUCUGUAGUCAGGUUCUGUUCAGGAUCUUUUGCCAUGUUCUCUCACUAGGUUCUUUGUCUAGGUUCUGUCUCUAGGUUCUGUCUAGGAUCUCCAGC